rnacentral:lncRNA from 1 species
CUGCGCUAUAGGCCGCAUCAAAUCCUCUUGUUUUACUCCUUUUUUCCACCUACUGUUAUCAGGCUCAAAGCUAACUUAAGCAUCAGAGGGUCCAGAACUGAAGGAUCCCUAUCGGUUUUUCACUUAUUUUGCAAAUUCUGCGAAGGAGUUUCAGAUCGGACUACUACUAACCCUCCAGCUCAACUUUGUCCGAUCUUUCUCGUUUCAAAUUUUGAGCCUCACACUAA